AUUCUUGCGCAGUGGCGAUAUCGUUACCAAUGAGUUACAACCGAGGUGCGAUUAUUGCUAGUUGAAAGCUAAUACCAGGAUAUUCUUGAGGGAUCUUUCAUGGAGUUUCUUCAAGAAUUCUUCCAGGAUAUCCUUCUGGAA